GUUGAGAGCUUUUGCCUUCUCUUAAAACUCUUUCUUGUCUGAUCUCAGAAGCUAAGCAGGAUCAGGCCUGGUUAGUACUUGGAUAGGAGACCGCCUAGGAAGACCAGGUGCUGUAGGCG
rnacentral:rRNA from 1 species